rnacentral:rRNA from 1 species
UGGGGAAUAUUGGACAAUGGGGGAAACCCUGAUCCAGCAAUGCCGCGUGCAGGAUGAAGGCCUUCGGGUUGUAAACUGCUUUUGUACGGAACGAAAAGGUGCCUUCUAAUAAAGGGCGCUCAUGACGGUACCGUAAGAAUAAGCACCGGCUAACUACGUGCCAGCAGCCGCGGUAAUACGUAGGGUGCGAGCGUUAAUCGGAAUUACUGGGCGUAAAGAGUGCGCAGGCGGUUUUGUAAGACAGAGGUGAAAUCCCCGGGCUCAACCUGGGAACUGCCUUUGUGACUGCAAGGCUGGAGUGCGGCAGAGGGGGAUGGAAUUCCGCGUGUAGCAGUGAAAUGCGUAGAUAUGCGGAGGAACACCGAUGGCGAAGGCAAUCCCCUGGGCCUGCACUGACGCUCAUGCACGAAAGCGUGGGGAGCAAACA